AAAUUGAAGAGUUUGAUCAUGGCUCAGAUUGAACGCUGGCGGCAGGCCUAACACAUGCAAGUCGAACGGUAACAGGAAGAAGCUUGCUUCUUUGCUGACGAGUGGCGGACGGGUGAGUAAUGUCUGGGAAACUGCCUGAUGGGGGGGGAUAACUACUGGAAACGGUAGCUAAUACCGCAUAACGUCGCAAGACCAAAGAGGGGGACCUUCGGGCCUCUUGCCAUCGGAUGUGCCCAGAUGGGAUUAGCUUGUUGGUGGGGUAACGGCUCACCAAGGCGACGAUCCCUAGCUGGUCUGAGAGGAUGACCAGCCACACUGGAACUGAGACACGGUCCAGACUCCUACGGGAGGCAGCAGUGGGGAAUAUUGCACAAUGGGCGCAAGCCUGAUGCAGCCAUGCCGCGUGUAUGAAGAAGGCCUUCGGGUUGUAAAGUACUUUCAGCGGGGAGGAAGGGAGUAAAGUUAAUACCUUUGCUCAUUGACGUUACCCGCAGAAGAAGCACCGGCUAACUCCGUGCCAGCAGCCGCGGUAAUACGGAGGGUGCAAGCGUUAAUCGGAAUUACUGGGCGUAAAGCGCACGCAGGCGGUUUGUUAAGUCAGAUGUGAAAUCCCCGGGCUCAACCUGGGAACUGCAUCUGAUACUGGCAAGCUUGAGUCUCGUAGAGGGGGGUAGAAUUCCAGGUGUAGCGGUGAAAUGCGUAGAGAUCUGGAGGAAUACCGGUGGCGAAGGCGGCCCCCUGGACGAAGACUGACGCUCAGGUGCGAAAGCGUGGGGAGCAAACAGGAUUAGAUACCCUGGUAGUCCACGCCGUAAACGAUGUCGACUUGGAGGUUGUGCCCUUGAGGCGUGGCUUCCGGAGCUAACGCGUUAAGUCGACCGCCUGGGGAGUACGGCCGCAAGGUUAAAACUCAAAUGAAUUGACGGGGGCCCGCACAAGCGGUGGAGCAUGUGGUUUAAUUCGAUGCAACGCGAAGAACCUUACCUGGUCUUGACAUCCACGGAAGUUUUCAGAGAUGAGAAUGUGCCUUCGGGAACCGUGAGACAGGUGCUGCAUGGCUGUCGUCAGCUCGUGUUGUGAAAUGUUGGGUUAAGUCCCGCAACGAGCGCAACCCUUAUCCUUUGUUGCCAGCGGUCCGGCCGGGAACUCAAAGGAGACUGCCAGUGAUAAACUGGAGGAAGGUGGGGAUGACGUCAAGUCAUCAUGGCCCUUACGACCAGGGCUACACACGUGCUACAAUGGCGCAUACAAAGAGAAGCGACCUCGCGAGAGCAAGCGGACCUCAUAAAGUGCGUCGUAGUCCGGAUUGGAGUCUGCAACUCGACUCCAUGAAGUCGGAAUCGCUAGUAAUCGUGGAUCAGAAUGCCACGGUGAAUACGUUCCCGGGCCUUGUACACACCGCCCGUCACACCAUGGGAGUGGGUUGCAAAAGAAGUAGGUAGCUUAACCUUCGGGAGGGCGCUUACCACUUUGUGAUUCAUGACUGGGGUGAAGUCGUAACAAGGUAACCGUAGGGGAACCUGCGGUUGGAUCACCUCCUUACCUUAAAGAAGC
rnacentral:rRNA from 1 species